rnacentral:rRNA from 1 species
AAUAUUGCGCAAUGGGGGGAACCCUGACGCAGCAACGCCGCGUGAGCGAUGAAGGCCUUCGGGUCGUAAAGCUCUGUCUUAAGGGAUGAUGAUGACAGUACCUUAAGAGGAAGCCCCGGCUAACUACGUGCCAGCAGCCGCGGUAAUACGUAGGGGGCGAGCGUUGUCCGGAAUUACUGGGUGUAAAGGGCCCGUAGGCGGUUAUUUAAGUCAGCUGUGAAAGUCCAGGGCUUAACCCUGGAAUUGCAAUUGAAACUGAAUAACUUGAGAUAAGGAGAGGAGAGCGGAAUUCCUAGUGUAGCGGUGAAAUGCGUAGAUAUUAGGAAGAACACCAGUGGCGAAGGCGGCUCUCUGGCCUUACCCUGACGCUGAGGGGCGAAAGCGUGGGUAGCGAAC